ACCCAAACUUACCCAGCUAACAAAUAGAAAUCUCCUCUCCCCUCUCUCUGUGAUUCCUCUCUCCAGAACCCUAAAAAUCUCGGCUCCCCUCUCUUUGCGAUUCAUCUCUCUGAGCUUCUACGGGAUUUUCCCAAUGGUGCCACCGCAGAUCGGCGGGGAGGGCCUUUGACUAAGUCGAUGACGAAGACAAUCAGCAUCUUUGGAAAACAAAUUCGGAGCCAAUCAAGAGGCUAAGUAGUAGUAACUCAGAAAAGUUGACUUCAGCAAGCCCACCGGUUCUCAAUCGAGAAGGGGCUGCUGAAAGUUGGGGAUGGAGGAGUAAACGUUCUUGCUACUCGCGUUGAUGAGGGUUGGUAAGUGAGUAAAAUAGUCAAGGCAUAGUAGUUGGAAGUGCAUUGU